rnacentral:misc_RNA from 1 species
AAGUCGUAACAAGGUUUCCGUAGGUGAACCUGCGGAAGGAUCAUCAAAAAAAUUUUUUGAUUUAUUUGACUGCACGCAAUGUGAAUAUUUUUUGAGUAUGUAUAUUUGUAUAUGUAUAUAUGUAUAUUUGUAUAUGUACAAGUAUAUGUAUAUGAAUAUAUGUAUAUAUAUAUAUUACUUUAUAUAUACGUCAAAAAAUAUCAUCACAUAUAAUUUGAUAUAUUUCCCUCAUUUUUUGAGGGAAAAAAAAACCUUUAUUUUAUAUAUUCUUAGUCUGAUGUUAUCAAAAAGAAGAGAGAAUCACAACUUUUAGCAAUGGAUCUCUCGGCUCUU